rnacentral:rRNA from 1 species
GACGAACGCUGGCGGCGUGCUUAACACAUGCAAGUCGAACGGAAAGGCCCUGCUUUUGUGGGGUGCUCGAGGGGCGAACGGGUGAGUAACACGUGAGUAACCGGCCCUUGACUUUGGGAUAACUUCAGGAAACUGGGGCUAAUACCGGAUAGGAGCUCCGGCUGCAUGGUGGGGGUUGGAAAGUUUCGGCGGUUGGGGAUGGACUCGCGGCUUAUCAGCUUGUUGGUGGGGUAGUGGCUUACCAAGGCUUUGACGGGUAGCCGGCCUGAGAGGGUGACCGGCGACAUUGGGACUGAGAUACGGCCCAGACUCCUACGGGAGGCAGCAGUGGGGAAUAUUGCACAAUGGGCGGAAGCCUGAUGCAGCAACGCCGCGUGCGGGAUGACGGCCUUCGGGUUGUAAACCGCUUUCGCCUGUGACGAAGCGUGAGUGACGGUAGUGGGUAAAGAAGCACCGGCUAACUACGUG